UUAUUUGAGAGUUUGAUCCUGGCUCAGGAUGAACGCUGGCGGCGUGCCUAACACAUGCAAGUUGAGCGAUUUACUUCGGUAAAGAGCGGCGGACGGGUGAGUAACGCGUGGGUAACCUACCCUGUACACACGGAUAACAUACCGAAAGGUAUGCUAAUACGGGAUAAUAUAUUUGAGAGGCAUCUCUUGAAUAUCAAAGGUGAGCCAGUACAGGAUGGACCCGCGUCUGAUUAGCUAGUUGGUAAGGUAACGGCUUACCAAGGCGACGAUCAGUAGCCGACCUGAGAGGGUGAUCGGCCACAUUGGAACUGAGACACGGUCCAAACUCCUACGGGAGGCAGCAGUGGGGAAUAUUGCACAAUGGGCGAAAGCCUGAUGCAGCAACGCCGCGUGAGUG
rnacentral:rRNA from 1 species